CAAAGUAAAUCCAAGAGUUUUUUUUGUUUUCCAGGCAAUGGGAUAACAAAGUGUACAAACUGGGCUCGGUGGAGAUGCGUGAUACAAGAUGAGGCCCAGUCUCAGCAUGGCCUUAGUCCAAUUCAUUUUCCAAAUUUCAGCAUUAUUUUUUAUUUUUUAUUUCAAAUUUAUUUAGUAAAAAAAACAAUUAGUAGAAGAGGGCUAUGGUUAAGUUGUCGAAUUAACUUCACCCCUUCCUCAGAUUCGCAGCGCCGCGGCUGCCUAUUCAUCAAUAGUGGUUCAUCCAUAAUCCCUUCUUCUCUGAUCCGUUCAACUCAACAGCUCCAUGAGACCACCACCUGGCUUCAUCAUCUCGGCCUCACGCUUCCGAAUCAACCUCUCUCAUCUGCGCGCGAUUCGCUCGGUUUUCCUUCCGAUUCCGCAGCAUUGUGGCUUCGAUCGCUCAAACAACGCCAUCGCUUCAAACUCAGAAACUCCAUCUCAGAUUUUUUGUUUCUGUUUGCUCAUCUACGAUCAUCUUCGCAUAUUAACCUCGCGUGCUUCAUUCUCCUCAAGAUCACCGAAUCAAGUUCGUUUCAACACUAUCAACCUAAGCCUAAUCUUAGUAAAGCUAAUACUCAGACAACGAUUCAAUCCAAGAACGUGCAACGAUAUAGAUAA